AGCUCGGAUUACGCAACGUAACUUGACCGGGUAUCUACGUAAACACGGAGAGCGCGUCGCAAAACAAGGCAAAAUUCGACCAAAUCAGAGGGGAGUUUCGUUGUUUGUCAUCUUUAAAUCAAUUUACCAAACAAUCUCUGUUCCCAACGCCCUUGUAAUUAAUUAAAGUAAAAUAAACAAAAUAACUUUGGCCUCAGGGUCUUAUGGGUCAAGUUCGGUCUCACUGUUAUACAUCGCGUGACAUAGGGAUAUAGCGACCUCAAAACUUCGUUUCGCAAAGGCUCGCUAAAUUUCCAAAAGUCUCGGAAUCUCGGUGCUCUUUGCGCAAGUCUCUCAGUUUCUCGAAGCUGUUGGUGACUCGUAGUCUCGGAUUUUUUUACGGAAGGCUCACGCCAUUGUCAAAAAUUUUCUUCAUCUUAGAGUCUCUGGCUCACAGUAUCGCAGUAGAAUCUCGGGAUUUAAAGGAACCUUUGGGUUUGGAUUCUAAAACGCGCCUCUCGACGCCCCGUUUGGCUUUGGUUUGGGCAAGAACUACCGCCAGGAUGAGAAUGAUGGUGAUCAAUAUUAGCAGUAGAGCUAUAGUGACGAUGAUCUUGAGUUUGGAGACAACCUUCUCGCCCCUAGCCCAGCGCGGUAAUUUGCUCGAGUCAUUUCUGCUAUCCGCCGCCGUCAAGUUUUUGUACGGUACCGGGCCCGCCGCCUCCGUCUUCUCCUGCGUCAUGUGCACGGAUGGGCAGCUUCUCGUAGAUGAACCAGUGAAGAUGACGCGCUUCUCGUAGAUGAACAAGUGAAGAUGACGCGCUUCUCGUAGAUAGACCAGUUAACACGACGCUAGAGAUACACGAGCACGGAAUAAACAAACGGAAAUAUAAUCCCGGUCAUCACGAGGGAACUAGAGAGAACCACAGGAACCCCGUACUAAAAAAAUACUCUCAAACGGAUUCUAAACAAGACGAUGGGACUGGGAUAUCAAUCAAUCAAGUUUAUUUCAUCAAGUAAUAGUAUAAUGAUAAUAAUGCAAAACAUAGUGAUGAUGAGGAGUGUACUAAAAAGCACAAUGCUUAAGAUGCGUAGCCCCCUGUCACAGCCUUAGCGGUGUGUCUACUAAACAUAUUAAUGUUUUUUAUCUGUUUUAUCUAAGCUGAAUACUUAUUAUUAAAUUUACAUAAUACCUGAUGGAUUGCAUGUGUAUUGCAAUUUUUACCAUUUAUUAUCUCAUUUGUUACACACCAAAAGCUGAACCAUAUAAUUGUAAUAACAAUACUGUAAAUAAAUUGUUUUAAUUGUG